GCGCGCGCCCCAGAGCAAAGCUUCCCGCCAGCCCCACAGUGCCGCCCAGCGGCCCGGAGCCUCGGCGUCUCUCCGCGCCCACAGCGCCGCCCAGCGGCCCGGAGACGCAGCUCCGGCGUCCGGCAUCACUGGUUUGGGCCUGGCCUCCGCUUUUAGCUCCAUAAUCCCGUAAACGUCACAGACGGGCGGGACGGCCACUAAAGGGUCCCUGAGGGGAGGGCCCUGAGCCAGACCAGCGGACCACAGCAGCCCUUGAGGCCACUGUCUCCACCCCUCACCUCCCCACCCCGCUCCCGUAGCCUGCUUUUAGGAAGCCUCGCUCUGGGCCCCAGCAAUCCCAGCCCUCCCCAGGGCUGUCCCAGCUCUUGGCUCCAUCAGGCCUGCCCCUCCACCUCACCCCCACCCCACCCCGGGCCUCUCCUGGGCAUCAGGAGGGCAGGCAAGGGUCCAGCUGGAGCAAAGCUGGAGGGCCAGGAAGCCUCUCACUCCCUGCUGGCUGCAGCACCAGAAAACCAUCUGGACUGAGAACCACCACGUUUAUUAGAUUCAUUCUCUCCACGCCCCCCCCCCCCCUUCCAUCUCCCAUCUGACCCUCCCCUCAUCCCUCAGCCACCUAACACUACACCAGCUCCAGCUGGCAGCUUUUGA